UAUGCAGCUUUGUUUCUUGUAACCAGCACACACACACACACACACACACACACACACACACACACACACACACACACACACACACACACACACACACACACACACACACACACACACACACGUGCACAAUAAAGAUGUUCAUUUCCCAUUAAAAAGACUU